AAGGAAAAGGUUGCGGUUCAGUCUAUUCCAGAUUGUUUUAUCCUUUCAGUCAGUGCUUCCUAGUCCUUAGCCUGUGAGUGUCACAAAGGACCAGAGGCCUGUACUAAAACUGGGCUCAAGUGCUGGACCAAGUGAAGAGAUGGUUGAGUUAGAUUUACACAAUCCUUUUUUGGGGAGUGUGGCAAAUGUUUAGAAUGAACACAGAAUGAAAUCAUGCUUGGCAUGAGGUUCGUGUCUAGGAAAACUAGUGUGGAGGUCUAAGGCAGGGACAGGGCGUGUUAGGCAACGAGAGUGGUUGCACUGAGGAGAAAGAACAAAGGGAGUUUGUGUAUUACUGAACUCCUCCAGGUGUACAUGGAUUUAACUGAGGGGUAAGGCCUACGUUGCAGGUGGAGUCAGUGGUGAUUUGAGGAGAGAAGGUGUCGGAGUAGCAAGCAGAGCCAAAGAGUGGAGCCGUGACAAGAGAAUUGAAGCACAAGAGAACAAGGUAGAUAGAUAGAUUUGAGACUGAGGGUUAGUGGGUUAGUUGAUGAACUGGCAGUGACGAGACGGCAACACUGGUUUUAAAUAUCUGUAGCAAAUUGCUCCAGAUUAGCUCCAGGUAAGGUGAAGACAGCUCCGCCCUGGGGCAGGCAGAGGAGAACUUUUCCAGUGGACUUUUCCAGCAGUUCACCUGGACUGUGACAGGGUGAAAAAUAUUAACCUGCUUGCAUUCUUGCAUUCAGGUUUUACUUGGAGGAUCCAAUGACGCACAUCACUAUUUGCAGUUUUUUUCAUUUAGAGCUGUAAAAUACCUCCACAACCGGUUACAACAUGACAACGAACCACAACAGAAAACACAGAGCAACACUUUGUGCUUUGUUAUUCUGGGCAUGCUGGCAGCUUCUUUCAUAUUGGUGCAUUCUGGACUUUCACCUUUCUGCACUCGUCCAUGGCUGAAGAAUUCCAAACUGUAUAUGUAAUAUUAACAGCUGCUCGAACGUCAGCACCAAAUUCAUUUUUCAUCUUAAAUCUGCUUCUGCUGCCUGCGUGUUCAUUCCUUGUUUCUGUCACCCACAAGCCUGCAUCUUGAGUGCUGCAGUGCUUUCUAAAGUGUCAUUGGUUGUAAAAUUUGGAGCAGAGGUCUUUCUCUCCACAAAGGUUUGCUUUGUUGAACAUUUCUGUGUAUUUUUCUCUCCUUUUUUCAUCUUUUUGAUCACUGCCUCGUAUUAAAAGUGUAUUUUCUCAUUAUUGCAACCAAAGAAUCUUUUCUCAUAAUAAUGAUGAGGGGGGAAACCACAUAAACUAACGCCCUGUAACAGAGGAAGGAGGAGGAGGUUCUAGGUUUAUGUGAGUGAACUGGUAAAAGAAGAGUUAAGUCAGUAUCAACAAAAGACAGAAUGGAGAAAUCAUUUCUUCUGCUUUGUAAGUACACUGUAAUGUUUCAUCUUUGAAAAGGCCUAAAGAUGCCACUUCUUUUGUUUCUCCAUCACAAACAUCAUGUUUGUGUAGAAGACAACACGGACAGAACCACUUCCUGCUUAUUCUGCUUAUUCUGCAUGAGUCUGUAGCUCUAACAAACUGUGUAAAACCUCUAAACCAACCUGUGUUUCAUUUCUCUUUAGUUCUGAUCUCACUGCUGAGCUACACCACAAACCAAGCUCUUCUGACUGUGAGUCCCAGCAGCUCUCAGAUGUUUGGGGGAGAGUUUGUGUCUCUGAGCUGUGAGGAGGACGACAGCUCUGCUGGAUGGACUCUGAGGAGAAACCCAAAGACACAACAGACGGCUCCGUGUGGAGAUGGGUGGGAAAAACCAGCUGGUUAUUCCUGUAACAUCAGCUACAUCGACCCAAUGGAUAGUGGAGUUUACUGGUGUGAGUCCAGAGAGGGUCCCAUCAGUAACAUGGUUAACCUGACAGUCACUGGUGGAUCAGUGAUCCUGCAGAGUCCUGUCCUCCCUGUGAUGGAGGGAGAUGACGUCACU